UUAUGGCCAUAUCACAUUGAAAAACUGGUUCCUGUAUGAUCACUGAAGUUAAGCAACAUCAAGUAUGGACAGUAUCUAGAUGGGUGACUGCUUGGGAAUACAAGGUGCUGUAAG